rnacentral:tRNA from 1 species
GUAGUGGUGGUUCAGUGGUAGAGUUCUCGCCUUCCAUACGGGAGACCUGGGUUUGAUUCCUGGCCAAUGCA